AAUAAGAUGCCUGACAAAAGGAUUAUUUUGAUAGGAUAAAUCAUGCAUGAUCUAAUUAUGCUCUUAUUA
rnacentral:tRNA from 1 species